rnacentral:rRNA from 1 species
UGGGGAAUAUUGGACAAUGGAGGCAACUCUGAUCCAGCAAUUCUGUGUGUGUGAAGAAGGUUUUAGGACUGUAAAACACUUUUAGUAGGGAAGAAAGAAAUGACGGUACCUACAGAAGAAGCGACGGCUAAAUACGUGCCAGCAGCCGCGGUAAUACGUAUGUCGCGAGCGUUAUCCGGAAUUAUUGGGCUUAAAGGGCAUCUAGGCGGUUAAACAAGUUGAAGGUGAAAACCUGUGGCUCAACCAUAGGCUUGCCUACAAAACUGUUGAACUAGAGUACUGGAAAGGUGGGUGGAACUACACGAGUAGAGGUGAAAUUCGUAGAUACGUGUAGGAAUGCCGAUGAUGAAGAUAACUCACUGGACAGAAACUGACGCUGAAGUGCGAAAGCUAGGGGAGCAAACAGG